CUCAACAUCCUUGCCAAUGCUUGUUGUUUCUUGUGCAAAACCAUUUAGUUUUAUAUACAAAUAUAUAUGCACGUUUUGUGUCGGGAAGGAUCUUGAUACAGUGGGGCCCUUCCAAAGUGAAGUCUUAUAAGACCAAAUUCUUCCAAAUUAUAAACUGUUAUAUAUAAACAGAUGAUUAAAAAAAAAAAAAACAAGUAGGGAUCAUCAGGAAACUAUCAAUAAUUCUUUCAUUCUUCCUUUUUCUAUUCCUGUCAUUUCAGAAGGUCCUUAUUAUUGAAGGUAACUAGUACCAGAAAACUAAGAGAAUCACCUUGAAAGGAAUCAAACAUUUAAAGCAAACAGUUAAAAAGAAAAAGAAAUUAAAGAGAUUUUAUUAGGACUCAGUUUUGAGGAGCUCAAAAGAAACGGAAUCUAAGUUUGGUUCACAUUAUAGAACAGAAAUUUAGGGUAUGAUGCAACAGCGUGUUAUUUCUUUUAACAAAAAUUGGUGAGUUCUGUGGUAGAAUCAUAAAGAGAGUACUUUUGGGGUGAGCAUUCACAUUUUCCCAAGGGCCCCUCGUAGUCUUUGGGUAUACACACCGUUCUCUUGGAAGAGUCUACCUCUCGUGAGAUCAUCUCCAUUGACUCUGACUUCCUCGGUUAACUGUUGAACAAGUUAACUGUCAACAAGUAAAUUACACUGCAUUUGCGUUUGUAUUCUGUGAUGUUUACCAGCCUAAAAAAUGAGCAGGAAUAGAUGGCUGGGGUUGAGGAUGAAGUAUGAGGUGAUCACUUUAUUUGUCAACGUUUUUAUGUUAUGAUGACCUGCCCUUCCUUAUACAGCCUGAUCAUUCUGGGGACUUAGAGAAUGAUGACUCAUGUAAUUAGAAAAAAUACCCCCCCACACACAUAUUAUGUUCCAGUUAAAGCACUCGGGCUGCCAGGGUGGGGCAGUCACAUAAACAUCUGACUCCUGGUCUGGGCUCGGGUCAUGAUCUCAGGGUCAUGGGAUCCAACCCGUAGUCAAGUCAGGCUCUGCGCUCAGUGGGGAAUCUGCUUGAGAUUCCCUUUCUCCCUCUGGCCCUCCCCUGUGUACUUAUGUAUGUGUGCACGCUCUCUGUCUCUAAACAAAUAAAUAAAUCUUAAAAAACAAAGCAUUCAGUAUGGCUUAGUAGGCUUGAUAAUUAAGCACGUGUAGGUUUGUACGUACUUUCCUGCACCUAACGAGGUUACGUAACCUUGGGUAUAUUAUUCACAGAUCCUCAGGUUCUUGAUAUGUAAUGUAGAGUUAUGAAACCAGCCUUCCAGAAUGGCCAUGGGACUUAGAGCCUAUGUGUCUAAAAAUAUAUAAAAGUCCUGGAUAAUACUUAGUGCAUGCAACUCAAGAAAUGACCCCCGGUAGGGUUCCUCCUGCAUUGUGUGGUGCCUUCCAGUUUAUAGAAGACUCUCGUGUUUAAUUCAAGCUGAAGAACUGAAAUUUUAGCAAAAUCCCUAAAGAUUUUUUAAGGUGCGCAGUGAUCUGAGGAAGCUGAAUUUCAAAAGAUCAUAUUUGGUGACUGUGUUCAUAAUGGAUGACGCCCUGGGAUUUGAUGGCCGUUUUCUUCAUGCUGCAGAUGGGAACGCUGAGUUCUGAGGAGAUGACACAAUUUUCUUGGGAUCACGUGGUUUGUAUCUGGCAGACCCAAACCCAGAACCCCAUCUUCUCUCACUUUACUGUGUUUUUCCAUCACAUAGUUGCUCCCUGGCCAUGGAGCCAAUUACAGAGGCUGUCAUGCUUGUCCAAGAACGAAGUGAUAAAGGUCCACCAUGUUUAUUGGCAGUGGGAAAGGGAGGCAGGAGGACAGAGUUAGUCGUCAUUGAAAAUAGGUGCUGCUUGUACUUGGCUCCAUGAAGAAGGGAGUCAAAGGCUGAACUUGCAAACCUGGCUGCAUGGCCAAACAGUAAAUUGAAGUCAAAUAAGUAGAAUGUGUUGGUUUUGUUGUUUCCUGAUGAGUUUAAAGGGACCACCCUAUCCAGAUAGAAAUACGUGGGAUUCCAAGUAGGACAGCAUGCCAACGCUGAAGAAAUAAAUUUGAGACUUUUAAAUGCCAAAGAAGGAGCAUUGAAACCAUCGUACUUUGUCUAAGUAUGUGCACCUGGGCUUUGUGACAUAUUCCGAGUUCAAGACCGGGCCGCACUGUUGCACUGUAAGUCACUAACCCUUGUACCUUCAUCAGCAGGAAGAGUUGUCCCCAUAGAUUCUUCUGCAUUUGUGUGUUUGUUUUGUUGGAUGGAUCCUGCUGUGGCACUGAGAGACAGACUUUGCGGGGCCCUGUUUUGUAAACAAAUCUGUUCAUGCACACUUUCUUCUAUCACUGGGUGUGUGCAGCUGGCUCUGCUUUUCUCUCCAGACACACGGGAGCCUAGGAAUUGAGAAGCCUGUUUUCUUUUAGAGGUACGAAGGCACCAAAAAAAAAACAUUGCAUGUGCGUUUAGAAUGUGCACAUCUACCCCAUAUAAGGUUUUGAAUCUUCAUGAUUUUAGCUCCAGGCCAGGAAACUCUGCAAGUACUUUGCAGCCCAGUACACACACUGUACCUCUAAGAGACAUCCUUAAAGCUGCCACAAAACUAUCGAUUAAGCUCAGCAAAUAAAGCUCUUUUUAUACUGAAAGUUCACUCUGUGGGCCAUAAAUGGAAUUAGUCACCCAAGACAAUAAAGCACAAUACUGGUUUUCCAAGAAAAGAUGAUUCGUCCCUUGCUAAGAUUGGUAUAUGAACUUACAAUAUAUAUCUGUAUGGUCACUUCCUGCCUGUAGUUUUUUGGGCAUGUUUUCUCAAGUAUUCCAGCAGAGUUCAAGUUUUUAUGACAGGAAGUAUGUGAAUGGUUAUGAUAGGAGCAAAUAACAUCUGACUUUAUGACUAUAGUAUAGGAAGUAGCUUUUCACGCCCAGUAGACUUUGGGGGAGAAACAAGUGCCGGCUUCGAAAUCUAAUGUACCUAGGUUUCCCAGAAUCUUUGCCCUUUCAAGUGGAAAUCACACCAGAAUGUGGUCUGUCUUCUUUCUCUUCUUAAACUUCUCUUGUCAACAGAUGUCUUUGUUUUAGGCAUAGGUAUUUUCAGUGUUUUGGUGUGACCCAACGUGAUAGGGAACCAUUCAGAAAGUUCUAAGCGAAUGCAGUAGACUUUGUAGAGUAGAUAGCAUGAAAAGCUUUGAAGACCCUACGUAGGAGCCUUCUGUUUCCUUAAAGAGUAAAGGACUAAAUCAUCAUUCACCAUCGAAGCAGAGGGAUCCCCCAACUUCCUUUACUCUUGUGGUCCAUUCAGUGUGCGUGUGGGAAACAUAGUUUGUUUCACAUCGAAGAGUCCGCCUCUGAGUGAGUUUAAAGAAAAGAAAGAAUUGGGCAAAACUUCAGUGAUGUUCCUCAUAGGCAGACCUUUAAUGGGGGCCUCGUUUUUCCCUGACUUAAAAUAAUAGUAAUCAUAGCAAUAGUAGUAAUGGAAAGAAAAGAUUUUUCUCAUCUUUCGCUUUUCCUCUUCAAGUCCGAGGAGCUUGUAGUCAGAAGAAAGUUUGUAACUGGUGCUUGUUCUGAGAACAGGGUACAAACACACCCAUCACAUGAAUGGACUGAUGCCAGUCAGUCAGAUGAAAAUGCCCCUGAAGGGUCUCCUAGUUCCAUGUGCACCCCCAGCCCCCGUGGGCUGUGACGCAGUACCACUCCCAGCGUCACUGGACGGAGAGUCCAGCUUUAACCCUGUGACGUUGACCUUCCCUUAACCACACUGAUGGAAAACGGUCUCUCCAUACUUCUUGUCUUAAAACUCCAUAUCACAGAUUUUGCAGAGUAACUUGCUGAUGAUACAGAGCUGUUCUCAAGGACACACGAAUGUGUUCGAGUUAUCAAUAUGGCGUUGUCCUCAAUUUCUUCUAAGUUCUGCAGAAAAUAUUUGUGUGAGGCAUGAUGACAAAUCUGCCCCAGGCAUAACUUACAAGGUAGUUUCCUAAGUUAAGUGCUGUGUUACUCCACAUACACCUCAGCCUGGUGUGACUGCCAUACAUCCUGAUGGAAGGUUCCGGAGCAGAGUGGUCAAGGCAGGGCUCCCUGGUUUUGAAUGCUGGCCUUACCACCUACUGAUUGCAUGAUCCUGGUCAAAUCCCUAAACUCCCCAGGACUCAGUUUCCUUGUCUGGACAGUAAUGGAAUUUGGGGUUGCAGUGAAAAUUUAAUGAGCAGGUCUGUGUCUAGCUCCUGGUAGUGUCUGAGCCAGCCCUGCCUGUCAUUAUGCUCUUAACACUGAUGAUUAAACUGACUUAAGGAGGUUGGGUGAUCUGGACCAGAGCAAAGCAUAGCCAAAGGAGGAGCCAAGACUCAAAACAUGGGCCCUCUGAUUACCUGUAGUGUGGUGCCCUUCCCACGUGAGGCCACACCCCCCCUUCUUUCUAGAAAAGUGCCACUGAAGAGUGCACUCAUUCGGAUUGCUUAAAAGAAAGCUUGGAGUCAAGUCAAAUAUAGAGAACAUUUGUCACAGGGUUUUAUUUUGUUUGGGGAGAAUGGGGGUGGGGAUGGGGGACAGGGGGCCCAGAGGUCUGAGAGGGAACACAGAAUCUGUAAAUUUGCCCCUGAGUCAUGUCCGCAGCUCAGCAGCCAGACCUGGGUAGUCUCUGUAGUUCAGUCACAUUCAAAAUACCCAACCUGAGAAGUCACCCUCUCAGCCCCCACAGUGCCCAGGUUGUCCUAACAGGCCGCAGCUUCUUGGCGCUGCCACAUCUGUUGGGCUCAUGUUCUGUCUGUUGUCCCCUCGACACCCCCCAAGCACGUAGUUCAGAUCUAUCUGUGUUGCUCUGCUUUUCCUUUCUCUUCUCAAACCAUCUGCAUUGACCUCACAGGCCUUAAGAGAGGAACUUUACUAUAAAGCACGAUCUGAAACAGGAACAAAGUGCACAGAAGCUUUGAGACCUGUGGGCAUGUGUGUGACCAUGACCCAGUGGGAGAGGGAAGCAGACUUUUCAGUAAGUGAGGAAAUUAGGGGUACUAAUAUUUGAGUAGUUGUCAGGCCUCUAAUCAUUGCUUUUCAGCUCGCCAAGCCCAGAAGCAAUAGGAUUUUUUGGAAUUGUAGGUAUUUAAAACUGCUGUCCUUACAAUAGAUAGGUUCCUGCUGUUCUUUUGAUAUUUUAUAGAGUGUUGCUCUUGCCACUGGGGAGGUUCACAAGGUCGUGGGAGCGAGGGCAGAGGGGUGACUGUUGUGUAGUGUUGUUGGUGCAAAUUAAAUUCUUCAUAUCAGUUAUCAGUGCUGUUUUCACUCACUCUCAAUUUGAAGAGUGUAUUCAUACUGUGUGAGCAGUUCCCAUACCGUUCAUUUGAAAAGAGCAGUUUGGCAACGAUUAAAUCCAUAGCACAUGGGUGAAAAUUUCCUUCCAUAGUAUAAAAUACAGUUGGCUUUAUUAAAAAUUUUCGUGUCUAUCUUCAUGUUUCUCUUGAGCACUCAAAAAUGAGAAAUAGAGGAGUCAGGGUGAAAGUGGCCAAGUGUUACCUUGUCAGAAAUGAAGUGCCAAAACUGCCGUGUCCCAGCUGUGUGUCUGCAUUUGAUUCGUUGGCCUUCAGCCUCCGUUUGCCCCAAGUGGAAGCUUCUGUUUUUCCCCUUCUACCGUCAAGAGCUCCCCCUCCCACCAUUUCCACCCAAGACAGAAGCACAUUAGUAGCCUGGAAAUAAAGGACAGGUUUUUUUGUUUUUUUUUUUUUAAGCUUCUCUUUGAGCAGAAUGUCUGCUAGUCUGCUCAGAAAGUGAACUCAGUCCCCACUGAUCCUCUCCAAGGUGGGAUAAAAACAAUCCUCCUCAAUCUGCGCAGUGAAGAAAUUCUAGUCUUCUCUGGCAUAAGUGAUCAGGUUUGGCCAACACCAAGAGAAAUACAGAAAGUUCUAUUGGAGCCCAUCGUGGCCCGUUUUCCGAGGGUGCUCUGCUGUGAAAGCCACAUGCCCGCCCUGUAAAUGUGACGAGUCCUAUAAAUAACUAUUUACUGCCCCCUUCACACACAAAUCUGAAAAACUUCUUUCUUUUCACAGACCCUCGGCUUGGCACUCGGAGCCUGUGCCUUCAGUGUCUCUGUGCCUAGUGGGGGGAGGGAGAUGUUUUCCGUAUUUGAAAUUUGGGGGAGAAGUGGAAAGAACUCUUUCUCUUUCCUUGAAGGGUUAAUGCUCUCACCAGCUUCGGAUUGGUUCACUCGAAUCCUAAAAUUACUUUUCUGGUCACGCGCACUGAAGGUCUAAGCAUUUGUGAAAUGUCUUUUUUUUUUUUUUUUCCUCCCCUUCUUCUUCUUUCUCCUGAUGCUGUUCUCUUGGCUGUCUUAAUUACACAGGGGUUGAGAAACCAAAUUAAAAUUAGGCGUGGCUGGUAAACAGUGAUCACAUUGCAUGCUUUGAGUUUUGUUGGAGUUACUUCUCCCUGCGUUGCUUUUCUCCCUGCUUCCCCCCCACCAAAGGAAAUAUCAUAAGCUCUUUUAGAAAUACUCACAGGAAGUGAGUAUCCAUAUGCUGGUUACUCGCCAGCGACUGAGCGUUGACAGGUGGAGAAGACGGCUGUAGCCCUCCCCAGAUUUAUUUGCACGUUUCCACCCGAGCAGAGGAUUAAUUCAGGGUGUGUAGACCAAGGGGGUUUUUUGUACAGUGAGGGAGUUUAGAAGAGGAAAUUGGUCAUUGCGUGUCAUCUCCAGGGACGGUGAUUCAGGGAGCUGCGGCGGGGUCAGCAAGGCACGUGGCUGCCGGGUCUGAGGGCUCUGCUCGGAGGGCAGGCUGCCUUCUACAAGUGAACGCUCCCUCCGCCGCCAACAGCGAUUCUUUCGCAGUGAAUCACUUCCAGAAAUGAACAGCCACCGUCUUUCUGGAAUGAACGUUGUGAAAUCCCUCGCUUAUAAUGGCAGGUUUUCAGUUGGUGGUUUUAUCAGAAUUUCUCAAGAUCAAAACGAAACCUCUUCUUGAAAGGAAAGAAAGUACUCUCGAUAGAGAAAGCAAAAGUAUUUCCAGUCUCCGGAGGAAGAACUGUCACAGAAGACCUGCGUACCUGUAUUGAGAGACACAGCGUCCGUGCACUUGCCUGAAUGUGUGUGAGUUCUCAGCACGCACUGCGGGGUGCUGGUGAUUUCCAACGCAGAAGGUCGCUAACGAAAAGAAAGGUUCUCUCCAGUGAGUAGGCGGUAGAGUCCGAUGAUGACGGCUGCGCCAGUGUUCAUGGUCUCGAGUUGUGGAUUCAAAAGACUGCUAGCAAGCUCUUAAAUACUUAUGCUUUAUCUGAUUUAAGGGUCUGAAUGGUGGGACUCACGGAAGCCUGGGAAGGGUUUUUCAGAAUGUGGAUUGAGUGAAUAAUCAUUGGAUUUUUUGAGUAAUGCAGUCCUUCUUGAGGAGGAAAGGCUGUUUUACAGCAGGAACGGUUUGGGGGGGGGCGCUUUUCGAGGUCUAGUUACUGCUUUUCUAAUAUUUAGGAGAUACAAGUAAAUGACUCCUCGGUCUCAGCAGAGAAAAAUUUCUGCCAACUCCUUCUCAAUGAAGAGAAUUCAGCCACAUCCUCCUCCUCACCGGAUUUUUGUCCUCCUCAAUAUUCCUGAGGAGAAACUGUCCCAUGAAGAAGAUAAACCUCCCGGCAGUCCCUGUGACGUGGCUCACGUGGUGGGUGCUCCGUGGCUUCCUGUGGCCACGCUUUGAUCCAGGGGGCGCAGGGAGGGAGUCCCCUCCCUGGAAACAGUGAGUGCAGCUGAAGGAAUUGUUCUCUCUCCCAAGUGGAGAAGUUGUUUGACCUACUGACUCAUUUCAUAGGAAUUGGGAAAACAACCUAGUGUGGUUUUCAUUGUUAGUCCUGGAAGAUUCCAAAAUCUGUGUGUCUGCAAAUAAGAGGAGCUGGAGAAAGGUGGUGUUGCCACUCGCUGUCUCUGCUUGCCUGCUCUCCUAAUGGAAUUCAAUCCCUUCCUUCCAGGACAGGUCCAGCCUGACUUCGGGAUCCUUUGUGUCCUGCGCAGUGAAUAGCUUACUGUACUGGACUCACCCUUCUUGUGAUGACGCGAGGUGAUAAAAUGGAUCUGUGAUGAGAUACGGUGAGGUGAAUGACAGAAGCAAUGUGCCAUAGCCUUCCGCUAUCACUGACCUUGUGAUAAGUCAGAAGGAAGAUCAUCAGCUCCCAGGCUGUGGGUGACCACAGGUCACUGAGACCCUGGGCAGCUGGAAAGUGAAACUGUGGGACCCUACUUUCCAAGUUUUCUUGCGAUGCCCGUCUGAAGCCGUUCUCUCCAACAGCUGUGUCUGAGUGCGACGUUGCCCUGUUGGUCAUCUGUGGCAUCGCGCUCCCGCCGGGGAAUGCUCUGUCUCUGUCCACAAGUGGAGGUAGACGGCGGUUCAGCAGGUCCGGUGGACCAGGCGGUGCUGAGCUUGCGUCUGGGACAGUGACCAGACAGAUGAAAGGAGAAGUCAGAGAUAUUUUUAGCGCUUCAGGGCUGCUUGGAAGCACUGGUUCCCGCUGCCCCCCUCCCGAGUCACUCCAGCGGGGUGUUCAGCGGUGCCGAUUUCGUGAACGAAUGCCUCCUGAGGAUUUCUGAAUCUGGAAAAUAUCUGUCAGCAGAUUGCGUUCACAUCCCUGUGUAAGUAGAGGCUUGUGCUCGUAAAUCAACCUUAAGGGAGUUCUGUUUUAUUUUGUUCCUGGAUGAUUCCCCGGUAAAACUGUUUUAAACAGUCAUCAGUGUUUGAUCUCUAUACCUUUUCUCUUAAACACUCAGUUCCCGAUUUACUAUUGGGCCUGCUUAAAAGCAAGGGUAUUGAUCCCAUAUUUGGGUCUGAGAAUGGGAACAGGAGGAGUUAGAAAAUACUAAAAAUACUCAUUUCAGUUAAUUCAGCAGGAGAUGCCAUCUGGACAUCCAGGGCAUCUUUUCCAGAUUUGAGUAUUCUCCAGACACCUUUGUAGUUAGCCACUCUGGAAUGCGUCCAUGUACAGCAAAACAGAUGCAGGCAGGAUCUGUGAGCCCUGUCAUUUCAUCUCUGCUAACGGUGUGCGGAGGAAGUGUGAUUUCUUACUUCGAGCCUCAUAGCCGCCAUUUACUGAAUGUUUACCAUGUGCUCUUUCUAACUCAAGUUGCUUUUCCUUCUGUAUCUCCGUUCUCACAGCCUUGUGCAGCAGGCGCUGCUGUUACCCUGAUUCGACAGGUGAGGAGACUGAGGCCCAGGGUCAAAAUAACCCAGCCGAGGCGAUUCGGGGAGCUAGCUAGCUGCAGAGCUUGACACCUGAUCCAGAAGCCUAUACGGCCCCUCCCACCCCACUGCCCUGCAGAAAUGGGAACUGCAGAAGGAGAAGCGGCUGGGCUGUAUUUUGGAGCCGGUAUUUUGUCCUGUCACGUUCCUUCAGUGCUAGCCAGGUCCUGCCCAUUUCUAGGUUUUCUCCUCCUGUUUGGUGGGCUGUUUUGGUGGUGCUUCUGCUAAUCAAAACCCACGCUGGUUUUACCGAUUUGCUCAUGUGCCCAUUUGAUGAAACCCUGGAGCUCGGAGCCCGUGUGUGCCCAGAGGUCCAGGCGGCCGUGGAAGAUGAGCUGUGACAGGGCCUGUAAAGCACUGGGCAGGGAAGAAAUGGUGGCUACAAGCCUGGGCUUGGAAUCGGGCAAAUUGGGGUUUGGAUUUGCCAUUCGUAAGCUUUGUCACCAAGAGCAACAAGUCACGUACCCUCUCUAAAUCUCUGUUUUCUCACCUGGGAAAGGGAGGUACCACCAGCCCUGUUCGGUGGUGGUUGCGAGUGUUGAGAAAUUGCACAGGAAGCAGGAAACACGGUGCCUGGGAUGGAGGAGGCAUUCCCAGAACGGAAGCUCGCGUUGUUUCUCAGAAUGUCUUCCCGUCUACUUCUGAGGUCAUUCCAGCCUUUGCCCUGGAAGGCUCUCUAGAGUUCUGACCCAUCUAAUGAAAUGACAGAUAAGGGUGUAGUGCUUUCAAAAUCGACCGUCUCCACGUGCUGAAUCCCCCCGACCCUCACCACCACCCCAGCAUACGACUGCGUAUCUCCAUGCUCUAGCUCAGGAUCCCAAGGCUCAGAAAAGUAUGCACCCAGCACAGCCAGGACUUCAACCAGACCCCACGCUGCUCGUUCGUCUGCUUCUUACAAGAAGAAAGUGUUCUUUGAGGGCAUUCAAGUCAGCCAGAGAAUAACUUAGAACAGAGGGACCCAGCUCACCUUUCCAGCCUGGCCCGGGCUGCAGUUAGGACUGCCAUGUCCUGAGGUCCGCAGCGUCUUGAAGGUGCAUUCUUAAACAAGUGUCAUGGGCAGAUACGGUCUUCUUGUGAAAUCCUCAAACCUCCAGGGAGGCUGUCUUAACCUGGCUUGCUCGUGCAAGAAGGGACUGGCAUUGUGCUGCCAUGAAAACAAUGCGCUUGCUCGGUUCCGCUCCUGCCACACGGGAGUCAGCCAUGUGGUUUCUUGAUUCACGGUUUCGGGCUCCAAGUCUCCUAUCAGAUUUGGAAGGAAAACUACAAAAAGGCAAGCUUGCUUGAAAACAGCACGAAGUCUGCCGGUACAGACUGGAUGUUGAAAUGGAGACCCAUUCUCAGAGCCUGUGGGCCCAGAGACGCCGAGGAAGGAUUUUUUUUUUUUUUUUUUUUUUUUUUUUUUUGGGUCCUUAAAAGGUGAUUAUGUUCAGGCUGGAGGUGGUGAACAAUUCUAGGUGUGUGUUCUGUGUGUGUGAGAAAGAACCGGCCAGAAAACACUCCUUUCAAAAGGUACAGGACCUUAAAAUGGUUGAUGGUUAAAAAUAGAAACGCCCCGAGUUACAGAAACUCAGCCCUUCCCGCAUCCUGGCCUAAAAAUACAGAACAAUCCGGUUGAUUGUCAGAGGUUGGAGGACAUGGAGGCACGGAAGCCUGCCCAUGUGCACGGACGACCGUCCUUCCUGGUCGUUGACUGUCUCUGAAAGACUCAACAAAGGAAGCAGAGACUUCUUCACCCCAGUUCAGGAGUCGGUCGCUGGCCCCCCGUUUCCCUGUGCACGUCCUGGAAGGAGAAUGAAGGGGCCCCUGUUGGUUUCAUCAACGAACUCAUUUUCAUCUCCUACUGGUGAACAGCGUAGCCUUCCCUGCAUGUUUUUUGGCUCGCCGGUCUCCUCCCAUAGACUUAUUUUUAAGAAACUGGCCUCGUGUUUUGGGUGAAGUUGUGAAAACAGAGGCCUGAGCUCGAGACCCCUGUUUCAGCCUGUUUUCAGUCAUUUCGGACUUACCGGCUCAGUAUCUCAGUUUCUAACCCAAAGGGCUUAAAACCUGCAGAGAAGUGUGUUCAAUGGCUGUGCUUACUAAGUCCGUCUGCUGGAAACGCCUUGGCAGACCACUCCCAGGAAGAGACCAAGAUAGACACAAGAGAGUCCACCUCCCUUUGCUCUUCUGCUGAGGGUUUUGAAAAGCCGGAAUAAGGUAGAAUGCAGAAAACCUUACCAUAUCUGUUUCUGCUAAGGGAGUCAAACUGGAUGGUCAUGUAUGGAACACGUCUGUGUGUGUAUGAAACACAUCUGUGUAUAUAUGGGUGGGAUGUGCAUUUGAGGUGGGAGAUACAUAUGAUCUUAUCAGACAUAAAAGCAAAAGGAAGAAAUUCAUGCUUCAGGAAAAAUUGUCCCCGUAACUGAAGUGUCAGUCACUUGAAAAAUGCUUCCAACUGGUAGUAAGGAAAAGCUGUGACUAGUCACUUGUAAAAAAAAUAAAAAUAAAAAUAAGCAGACCUUUCUCUUCAGAUUUUGGGUUUUUUGAACCGGUGAGAAUAAGCUUGCACGCGUCACUCUGAUACUACGAAUUCUAAUAGCACACACAGAGGGAGGCAGUGGAUAUCUAAAUGAGUCACAAAAUUCAUGAACUAGUUAUUGAAGGGUUGCAGAGGUUCUUCUGUCUCGGUACUUUUUUUUUUAAUUUUUUUUAAACAUUUUAUUUAUUUAUUUGACAGACAGAGA